rnacentral:tRNA from 1 species
GGAAGUCAUCCGUCCGGAUGAGGAGCCUGUCUUGAAAACAGGUGCGCCUAAUCGCCUUUGUGGGUUCGAGUCCCACGGCUUCCC